CUUUCCACCCGAGCGCGAGGUAGACGCCGGGGCCACCCGCAGCACGCAGAGCUUCUGGGAGCCGGUGGCAAGGCCGAAUUGGGAUGCAAACCAAAUGGACGUGGGUGACUGGCAGAAAACGCCUCCCACAAAUGGGAGGGAUUUCGGAGGGAACCGAAAGAAAGUUGGAAACCAAGUUACAGCUGAAGCCAGGGCCUUCUCCUACCCGACUCCCGCGGCCCAUUAAAACCUACGUGAGCUUAUCUGAUACCUUCAAGCCCUGUUUUGUGGCCCCAUCUCCUCUUCAGAUGGCAAUGUGCCUAGCUACACUACAUUUCCUGCCUCCCUUGCAGCUAGAGGUGGCCAAUGAGAUAUAAACAGAUGCUGUAAGACAUGAUGUCUAGAUCCCUAGCAGUCAUCCCAGACCAUGAGAUAACUUUGAGAAGGAACACCAUGUACAAAGGACUGUGCAGAAGAGGGUUGGCAGGAGCCUGGAUCUCUGAUGACUUCACCCUUGACUGCCCACCUCACCAGGCUGUACAAGCCACUGUUACUGGCAGAUGAAUGCAAGUUCUAAAACAUACAACUACUGACCUACUGAAUUUUCCAAGGAGCACAUUUCCACUGGAGACAUUUGGUGCCUGCAGAAAAUACUUACUGAGGAAUUUCUAUGGGACCAGCCUGAAGUAGAAGCCACUGAAGAGAGGCCCUGAAGCAGCUUUUCUUCCUUAUCCCAGAGACCAACAUGGUUACCCCAGCCCAGAGUCACCCUCCUUCCUCUAAGCUGUCAAAACCCUGGCUGCCUUUACAAUGAUUCUGACAAUGAAUCCCACCCUGCUGGUGAUGUCUAUUGCUUUACUGUUAAACUUUUUAAGGGUUAAAAUUCCUUUUUAUUUUUCUUUUUAAAUUGAUUAAUAAUAGUUGUACCAAUUUGGAUGGUACCUGUAAUAUUUUGAUACCUACAUACAAUGUGUGAUGAACAAAUCAGAGUAAUUGGGCUAGCCAUCACCUCACACAUUUAUCUAGGGCUGAAAUCCCUGAAGGACAGGAUUGUGUCUUACAAAUUGUGUAUUCUAAUCUGCAUUUACAUUUCAGAAAUUCUGGACUAAGUAGGCAAACCAACAGAAACUCUUGCUAUGAAGAUCUGGAGGUUUCCUGGAGGAAGUGGUGAAUAGGGCCUUGGGACUGAUGUUAAAAGCCCUGGAACACAAUAGGGAGACUCCUGAACUAGGAAGAAGUCAAAAGCUCUGGUAGCAGCCCCCACAAAUUAAGAAACCUACUCAGAGUAAAAGAAACAGGCCAUGGUGGGUGGCCGGGGAGCAAGGAAUAUUUGUGAGUAACCCCAGAUGGUGGCAAUCAUUUAAUGCCCUCCAUCCCUCUCAGUGUAUAUUAGGUUAUGUUUUUUUUUUAGAAAAUGGAGGAAGGGUUUUACUAUGUUGCCUAGGCCAGUCUCAAACUCCUAGGCUCAAGCGAUUCACCUGCAUUGGCCUCCUAAAUUGCUGGGAUUACAGGCAUGAGCCACUGUGCCUGGCCCAAGAAGUCUGAGCCAGACGUUGCUGCAUAGGUCAGAACUCUGUGGGCUAUGAAUGUAAGAUAUUCACGAGUCACAUCUAUUCCAUUCAUUGGCAAACACUUACCUGAAACCAUACAGCAAAAGAGAUUCUGGAAAAUGUACCUUCCAGCCUUAGAAGAAAGUGAUGGUGGUGCCCAGUUGACCCCAGGCAAGCCGGCCCAGGAAUGCAGACAUUUUGGACUGCUCAUCUUUUACUACUUUGUGUAGCCUUUCACAGAAGAAUUACACAAGAACUUGACUCUUGAUUCCAAGGAUUCUGGAAGAAUGCCAACCAAACUGAAGUCUACAAGCCUAACCAUGUUAUGAAAAGGCUGGAUGUGACAUGGUGAAUCCUCCUUAGAUGUGUUAACUAGGGUUAGGGUACCAGUGACAUGCAAGGGGUUGGCCAUUUGAUUAAGUAGAGGAGGCAUGAGUGAAAGCAGCACACCUCCACCCUGCUCAAUGGCCAUCAUCACCUAGCCAGGCUGUGAGCCUCCAUGGAGUGGGUAGCUGAGAACCCACAACCCACAAUAUAUCUUCUUUCUGGCCCUGUUAACAUGGACCUGUCUCUAUGAGGUGAUGGUUGAUAUCCAGCUAAGUAUGGCCCUCUUAAUAGUAAUGUGGGUGGCUUUAUUCAUAUUGGCUUCAUGAUAAAUGGUAUCACUGAGCUGACUUCUCUAUGUUUUAGAUAAAACAAAAAUAAAAGACAAAAAAAAAAAAAAGAAAAAAAGCAAAAUGACACAGGCAGUCUUGCUGCCAGACACAUCUGCAAUCAGAAAGCUUGGAAAAUUAGACUUGGAAAUGGCUUGAAAAAACCUUUAAACUUUUUCUGAAGAGCAAGUACAGGUUUGUCUCUGGGGUCAGUUCUAAUUCUUUGACCAGCUAAUUUUAAGUGGCUGUAUCUCGAAAAAAGUGACAGUGACAUUUUGGUACUCCAGCUGAACUUUUAGAUUAGUCACUGAUACAACUGCAACUUUUGGCCUAUUUGAAGGAUUUUAAGGGCAGGAUAAAUAACAAAACCCAACAGUCUUAGCCUGAGUUUCCCAGAAAUCAGAGCCUGAGACAAAGGCUUGCCUUUUAAGAUUAUCUGAGAAUGUGAUCUUAGGUAGCAAGAGUACAGGGUAGGGGAGUGAUCAGGGAAGGAGGGAAAGCUAAUGCAACAUGGAUUAUUACGUUGUCUACUACUAUGGACAAUUGUUCAUGUGGACUAUGCUGUGGACUACCAUAUGGACUACCACUAUCACUAUGGAUACAAGUCCUGCUUGGAAUUUUUGGGGAGAUUUAUGGAAAGUACUAGAGAACUGUUUGUCCAAAGGACCAAAGAUGGAAACAUUUAUCCAUUGGCUCCAGGUCCCCAUUGGUCAAGGAUGACUUGGUUGCAUUUCUAAGUAAUGUAUGCUGAGCACAGAGCAGAUUCAAGUGGUUGCCCUGAGCUGCAGAUACCUCUGGGCAGGAAAUGAGAGAUACUCAGUGCAGACCUAGAGUGAGACCCGUGAUCUGAUUGCACCAGCAUAGAGAUGGUCAAAACCUAGGUGGAAGCAGUUUCUUCAGUUGUAACUGGAGAUAGAGGUGGGAUUGAGAGGAUUUUAAAAAGGGGCCCAGGAGUUAUCUAAAGCACCAAACAGUAAGUAUACAUUAACUAUGUUCUGGGUGUUGGGCACAAGCAUGGGAGGUAGAGCAGUGACAUGAUAAAGCCUUUACUCUUCCCCAAAUAUCUAUACUUUCUCUAAUAUAAAAAAUCUUAAGUAUAUGAAAAAUAUCACAUUUAUUAUAAAAUGUAAACUGCAAUGACAUCUGAGAGAGUUAUAUGUUGAAAUUUAAAUUCACAUUGAGAUAUAAAUGUUAGAUACAGGUAUUUUACCCCAAGUAAGGCUUUACUAGGGGAAGGAGGAAGUGCACAAGAAUUCUGGGAGUCUGAUGUAGUUGUGAAUCAAAAUUUCCAAUCCUUAUAUAUAUUUUUAUUAUCAGCCUUGCUUUGCCUAGUGCCUAUAAUCGUGUGAGAACUUGCCCUGUAGCCCCCCAUGAGUGGCCCUUUUCCCUAGUCAUCCUUCUUUGGCUUUAGCCAUGAGGAGCCUGAUGUGAGGAGAGAACUCAGCAAAUAUUUAAGUAAAUAUUUAUGGAAUGACAUGAAUGAAUACAAAGUUAUAAAUAGAACAUUAUCUUAUUCUACUCCUGGACUAGAUGUACGACCAAACAAACUAGAAUAGAUUUUGCAUAGAUUAAAUUUCACCUUUCUGACCUCCCCAAGCAAGUGCUUCUCUGUUUUUUUCCAGACCACCAUGUAUAUUCAGUAGCUGUAGCCCUUAUUUUCUGUUUUAGUUAUUCAAAGCUUGCUGGAAUAUGAGCUCCUGAAGGGCAGGGGCCAUUUCUUAUUAAUCUUUCUGUUGUCAGUACUGAGCAAAGUCUACGGUGCCUAGAAAUGUUUAAUUAAUGAGAAUCUGAAUCAAGACUAUAACCAUACAACCUCAAUAAUGCAAUUAAAAUGAAGAAUCUGUGGAAUAAAAUGACUGAAAAGCAUACCUUGGGAAUACAUAUCCCAGCUGAGAGACUAUAGGCAAGUCACUGAAUUUCUGUGUCUCAGUUUCUCCAAGUGAAAAAUGAGAGACCAAUCAGGGUUAGAGGAUAUGUGAUGUGCAUACUGUCACUCUGUUUUCUGUGUCUUGGUUGACAUUUCUAAUAAAUCAUGACUUUUCUUCACACUGA
rnacentral:lncRNA from 1 species